rnacentral:misc_RNA from 1 species
AACUUUUGGCAAUGGAUCACUUGGUUCUGGCAUCGAUGAAGAACGCAGCGAAAUGCGAUAAGUAAUGCGAAUUGCAGAAACCGUGAGUCAUCGAAUCUUUGAACGCAUAUUGCGCCCUUUGGCAUUCCGAAGGGCAUGCCUGUUCGAGCGUCAUUAUCACCCCUCAAGCUCUGGCUUGGUGUUGGAUCGGGUAGAGUGAUACCCAUCUCAAAGAUAAUGAUGCCGCCCCGGAGGGACACGGUACGAGGAGCUUCUCGUUGAGCAUGUACCGAAGACGACUCCGUGGGCGGUGGUCUUGUACUUAAUUAUACCUAAGUGUUGACCUCGGAUCAGGUAGGAAUACCCGCUGAACUUAAGCAUAUCAAUAAGCGGAGGCU